rnacentral:rRNA from 1 species
GGCUCAGGACGAACGCUGGCGGCGUGCUUAACACAUGCAAGUCGAACGAUGAUCCGGUGCUUGCACCGGGGAUUAGUGGCGAACGGGUGAGUAACACGUGAGUAACCUGCCCUGGACUCUGGGAUAACCCCGAGAAAUCGGAGCUAAUACCGGAUAGGACCUUGAACCGCAUGGUUUGGGGUGGAAAGUUUUUCGGUCUGGGAUGGACUCGCGGCCUAUCAGCUUGUUGGUGAGGUAAUGGCUCACCAAGGCGUCGACGGGUAGCCGGCCUGAGAGGGUGACCGGCCACACUGGGACUGAGACACGGCCCAGACUCCUACGGGAGGCAGCAGUGGGGAAUAUUGCACAAUGGGCGCAAGCCUGAUGCAGCAACGCCGCGUGCGGGAUGACGGCCUUCGGGUUGUAAACCGCUUUUAGUAAGGAAGAAGGGAAGCUUGCUUCUUGACGGUACUUGCAGAAAAAGGACCGGCUAACUACGUGCCAGCAGCCGCGGUAAUACGUAGGGUCCGAGCGUUGUCCGGAAUUAUUGGGCGUAAAGAGCUCGUAGGCGGUUUGUCGCGUCUGCUGUGAAAUCCCGAGGCUCAACCUCGGGUCUGCAGUGGGUACGGGCAGACUGGAGUGCGGUAGGGGAGAAUGGAAUUCCUGGUGUAGCGGUGGAAUGCGCAGAUAUCAGGAGGAACACCGAUGGCGAAGGCAGUUCUCUGGGCCGUAACUGACGCUGAGGAGCGAAAGCGUGGGGAGCGAACAGGAUUAGAUACCCUGGUAGUCCACGCCGUAAACGUUGGGCGCUAGAUGUGGGGACCUUUCCACGGUUUCCGUGUCGUAGCUAACGCAUUAAGCGCCCC